UUGGAGGGCAAGUCUGGUGCCAGCAGCCGCGGUAAUUCCAGCUCCAAUAGCGUAUAUUAAAGUUGUUGCGGUUAAAAAGCUCGUAGUUGAAUUUCGGGGUUAGUAGAUUGGUCGUGCCUCUGGUAUGUACUGAUCUCACUGAUCCCUCCCUCUUGACGAACUGUAAUGUCAUUAAUUUGGUGUUGCAGGAAAUCAGGACUGUUACUUUGAAAAAAUUAGAGUGUUUAAAGCAGGCUAAGGCUUGAAUACAUUAGCAUGGAAUAAUGAAAUAGGACGUUUGAUCCUAUUUUGUUGGUUUCUAGGAUCGACGUAAUGAUUAAUAGGGAUAGUUGGGGGCAUUAGUAUUCAAUUGUCAGAGGUGAAAUUCUUGGAUUUAUUGAAGACUAACUACUGCGAAAGCAUUUGCCAAGGAUGUUUUCAUUAAUCAAGAACGAAAGUUAGGGGAUCGAAGACGAUCAGAUACCGUCGUAGUCUUAACCAUAAACUAUGCCGACUAGGGAUCGGAUGAUGUUAAUUUUUUAAUGACUCAUUCGGCGCCUUACGGGAAAC
rnacentral:rRNA from 1 species